rnacentral:rRNA from 1 species
UACCAGCACCCCGAGUGGUCGGUACGAUUAUUGGGCCUAAAGCAUCCGUAGCCGGUCCUGCAAGUCUUCCGUUAAAUCCAGCUGCUCAACAGAUGGGCUGCGGGGGAUACUACAGGGCUAGGAGGCGGGAGAGGCAAGCGGUACUUUAUGGGUAGGGGUAAAAUCCGUUGAUCCAUAGAAGACCACCAGUGGCGAAGGCGGCUUGCCAGAACGCGCUCGACGGUGAGGGAUGAAAGCUGGGGGAGCAAACCGG